rnacentral:tRNA from 1 species
CCUGGUGGCUCAGAUGGUAAAGCGUCUGCCUGUAAUGCAGGAGAACUGGGUUCGAUCCCAGAGUCGGGA